AAAGCGUUCGACGAUGACGUUGAAGCAGCCAGACAAGCCGCUGUGGACACGGCUACGAAGUUCGCAGGGACGGCCAUUCUUGAUGGGAAGGAGACGGAACUAUUUGUACCCUCGGAACAUGUGCCGGAUGGCAUUCCAGUGACAGUAUAUACACCGGAAGUGUGUCGACAGCAAGGGCGCCUCCUACAAUCUUGGUUUACUUUCAUGGAGGUGGGAACGUGACGAAAGACCGGAAAACACAAGCAACCAUGGCAAUCCGACUGGCAACAAUGGUUCCAUGUAUACUUGUUGACGUGGAAUACCGAAGGUCUCCGGAGCACAAAUUUCCGGCCAGUAAUGAAGACGCAAAGAGCGUAGUGGCGUGGGUGGCUGCAAAUAAAGCAUCGCUAGGUGGCGCUUCUUCCAGUAAAAUCGGC